ACUUUUUAUGAAAAGAAACACAGAAAAAUAGAGCAAAAUUUGACUUUUUGAUAGUGAUUUUUUAACCUUUUUUUUUUUUUGACGAAAAUAGCCUAUUGCCAAACUUAAGUUUUUAAAAAAAAUUAUUUAUUUAUUACAACAAUGUUACAUCUAUACAAAAUUUCCCUCGGAAUUUCCUCCAAAUGUGCGGUUAGAAUCAUUUUCUUACCGGUCAUAACACGUUAUGGAGGGAUUUGGACGGAAAAAUUAUAUGGAUAAAUCAUUUUUGUACUUAAACUCAAAUAGAAGAGAGAAAAAAAAAAAAAAAAACUCAAUCCUAGAUUAUACAAGUUUAAUUACUAAUUUUACAACUAAAAAUAUGAGAAAAGUAAUGUUUAAGUGAUAUUUUGUUAUAAUUUAUUUAAUUAUUUGAUAUUAUAAUUUUAAAUUAUUUUACUAUUAUUUUCUCAAAAGCAAGCUAGACCAUCUAGUCAGGGCCGUGGGUCUACCAUGGUAACAGUUCAAUGAUAUGAUACGUUGAUCUUUUAAGUCUUUUGUAAGUUUUUUUGGGUGGGUAAUGUCUUUUGUAAGUUUCUUGUGAAUCCACAAUGGUUUUUUUAGGCUAUAUAUAUAAUUGCCCUGAAUUGGUCCACCCCUCGUAGUAUGUAACUAUCAAGUCAAAAGAAAAGUCUUUAAGAAAAUGAUAUAUCCUUGUCGUGUAAAGAAAAAAAAAAAA